AUUGAACGCUGGCGGCAGGCCUAACACAUGCAAGUCGAGCGGAUGAAGGGAGCUUGCUCCUGGAUUCAGCGGCGGACGGGUGAGUAAUGCCUAGGAAUCUGCCUGGUAGUGGGGGAUAACAUCCGGAGACGGGCGCUGCUACCGCAUACGUCCUGAGGGUGCAAGUGGGGGAUCUUCGGACCUCACGCUCUCAGGUGAGCCUAGGUCGGAUUAGCUAGUUGGUGGGGUAAAGGCCUACCAAGGCGACGAUCCGUGACUGGUCUGUGAGGAUGAUCGGUCACACGGGAAGUGGACCGCGGACCAGACGCCUGCGGGAGGGAGCAGUCGGGAACAGUGGACAGUGGGCGAAAGCCUGACACAGUCAGGGCGCGUGUGUGAAGAAGGUCUUCGGAGUGUAAAGCACGUUUAGUGGGGAUGAAGCGCAGUAGGUUAUGACCUAGCGGUUGUGACGGUAAUAACAGAAUAAGCACCGGCUAACUUCGUG
rnacentral:rRNA from 1 species